rnacentral:rRNA from 1 species
UAAGGAAUAUUGGUCAAUGGACGCAAGUCUGAACCAGCCAUGCCGCGUGAAGGAUGAAGGUCCUCUGGAUUGUAAACUUCUUUUAUCUGGGACGAAAACGGGAUUUUUAUCUCAAUUGACGGUACCAGAGGAAUAAGCACCGGCUAACUCCGUGCCAGCAGCCGCGGUAAUACGGAGGGUGCGAGCGUUAUCCGGAUUUAAUGGGUUUAAAGGGUGCGUAGGUGGGCUUAUAAGUCAGUGGUGAAAUCUCCGAGCUUAACUUGGAAACUGCCUUUGAUACUAUAGGUCUUGAAUUAUCUGGAGGUAACCGGAAUAUGUCAUGUAUCGGUGAAAUGCUUAGAUAUGACAUAGAACACCAAUUGCGAAGGCAGCUUACUACAUAUAAAUUGACGCUGAGGCACGAAAGCGUGGGGAUCAAACA